CCUACGGUGUGCAGCAGUGGGGAAUAUUGGACAAUGGGCGAAAGCCUGAUCCAGCCAUGCCGCGUGUGUGAAGAAGGCCUUCGGGUUGUAAAGCACUUUCAGUGGGGAAGAAAGCCUUGGGGCUAAUACCCUCGAGGAAGGACAUCACCCACAGAAGAAGCACCGGCUAACUCCGUGCCAGCAGCCGCGGUAAUACGGAGGGUGCGAGCGUUAAUCGGAAUUACUGGGCGUAAAGCGCGCGUAGGCGGUCUGAUAAGCCGGUUGUGAAAGCCCCGGGCUCAACCUGGGAACGGCAUCCGGAACUGUCAGGCUAGAGUGCAGGAGAGGAAGGUAGAAGUCCCGGUGUAGCGGUGAAAUGCGUAGAGAUCGGGAGGAAUACCAGUGGCGAAGGCGGCCUUCUGGACUGACACUGACGCUGAGGUGCGAAAGCGUGGGUAGCAAACAGGAUUAGAUACCCCUGUAGUC
rnacentral:rRNA from 1 species